GGGGGAACAGGAUGGAGGGGGGCGGCGGAGUGGGGGCAAAAUGCUUCCCAGAUCUCCACACUCCGGAGGACUUCAGUGUCCAGUCCAGCCCGUGCCAAGAUUGUGCUCCGAUUCAAUUCACCGCUUUAUUUCUUCUCUGAAGCACAUGGGAGCCACUGCAUCUCCUCUCACUCCCCUGAGGGAUCUGGGGUUUUUUUUUAGCGUUUUUUAAAGUAGGUUCUUCAUUAAUCUGUUUGUCUUAAGCUGCUUAAAAAUACUCAUUGGGUGUAUCAGGAGCCAAGGGCUUAAAAAAAAAAAAGUGCAGGAUUUGUGAAGGAUUGACUUGAAUUUCUCGACUGUCUGGAACUGGCAUUACAGCUCAACAUCCUAUAAAAGGAUGAUGUUCCUGCUUUCUUUGUGUACUCACCAGCCCAAUUUUAUGUUCAUGAAGCAAAGUCAGGUGGUUUUUUUCCAUUUUGUGAUUUUACUGCCUUCUGCUGGUCAGAAAUGACCAGGCUGAGUUUAAUUUUUUAUAAUCAGCACAUGAUCUAAAAUUUAGCUUCAGUGCAAAUACCAACAGUAGAUGUUUUGUGUAUUUCCCAGUGCUUUUUUCGGCAAUCUCAUGGAUAUAUUUCACAUAGCAGGGUCAGUCAGUGAAGACAAUCGUAGGUAUUAAUAUGCAAAUCAGACAACAUCAUGUUCCAAAGGUUCUGCCUGUUGGCUUGAAGUGGGGAUGUAGCAGAUCACCUUUCUAAUCCUUCCCUGCCUUUCAACUCACUGCUUGCCCUUUGCUUCCAAGCAAAGAUAAAGAUUUAAAAAUAAACCCCAAGUUGCUGUUUGUUGUAAACAAACUGUGGUCCCACGAUAGUGGGUGAUCUAUCAGUGCAGAAGGAAAUGGGCCUCCUGCAACCAGAAUUUCAUGAUCUUUUUCAGGAAUAAUAGUUGUUUAAAGUUUUAUCUUUGCUUUUAUUCUCGAAGACAAAGAUAAAUGUGCUUGUCUCUCUGUGUAUGGGCUUGAAUGUGGAGAGCUGAGUAGAUAACGUGGCUUGGAUCUGGCUAAAUGUUGAACAAAGAAUUACCCAGUUCAUCAAAGGAAGUGGCUGUUCCCUUGCCUGAAAUCAGUUGCCUGCACCUUCCUGCUCUGAAAUGGAAUAACUAUGCCCUGAUGCCCUGAGUUGACACAACGUGCCAUCUGGAUAUACACUGGAAAUCCCUCAGGCAGGCAGGUUAUGAGAAGGAAGAUAUUUAUUUUCUGCUUUUUUUUUUCAUGCUAAACAAAACUUUGGUUGCCAGAUAAUCACUCAGAUUACACAAAUAAUUGUGUGUAAAGAGUGAGUUUCCUUCACAUUCACUAAUUCCUAAUUCUGUGGGAAAGAUUUGCAAGGGGAGUGGGACAAAACUUCUUCAUUCAACAAACUUUAACAAAUGUCACAGAGUUCACACUUUCAACAUUUUAAUGGCAUGAAGGCCAUGCCAACCAUCCUUGAGCUUCAGUUGUGCUAAAUGAAUGUAGGAUAGGAAGGAAAUAUUUAAAAUCCAUGUUCAUGGGAAAUACAAUUUAUUUUUGCUUUUUUUAAUAGGUAGACACCAAAUGGCAAUGGCAAGACUUAAAAUUAGAGGAGAUACUCUCUGAUUUAUGGAGAUACACAACAUUAUCCACCAAAUACUGCAGAGUGGUAAGAGAACACUGGGCAGUGGGGAAUGAAGCUCCUACUCCUGUAUCUCCCACUGUCCUACUUGAUCUGGGAAUUCAUCUGAGCACCAUCAAUAAUCUACGAUAUAUUUAGAAAACCUCAUUAAACAUUUGGCCAAAUGUGCUUUCUCAAACACCCGUUUGGCUGCUGUCUGAGCAGAGCAGACCCUGGGUCACAGAGCCUGAGAGAAGGGAAUUUUUCCUCAUUUAUUUUUAGUUUCAUUUCCUAGGGAAGUAAGCCAUCUGUGAUCUGUUUCCCUCUGGAAAGUUUUGAAGCUGCUCUGAAGUUUAAGUUUGCAGAGCCUCAGAGAUACUAAAUACCUCCAGUUUUUGUGGAAGUAAAAAGAGACCCUGGAACAGGAUAAGAGAAAAACAUGGGAAUCCGGGCUGUGUGAACUUGUGCCCCAUCCUUUCAAGCAGCAAUGAGAGUGGAAGGGGCAGUGUGAGCCUGGAUUGCUGCUCAGGUGGUUGUCUUCCCCCAAAGUAGCCAGCACACUUCUGCUUGUACCACUUAAUCCACCCACAACCAGAUUUCUUUAUCCCAGGAUUAGGCAGGGAAGAGGAGGCGUCAGCAGGAUACUUGUAAGAGUCUGUGCCCAGGCUGCCCUUAAUGUAAGAUCUUGGUUGUAUUUCCUCUUGGAGGAGGAAAUAAAGAGCUCAUUAGUGGCAUUUACAGAGUGUUAAACUGGGAGAGAUCAAAAGCUGUGCUGGAGUAGAAACAUAAAGUGCCUGAAAAUGAUAAACAUGAGCAGAAAUUGAUGGAAGCUCAGUUGGGAAGACUGUGAGUCCUCCUCUGAGGAGACUGAACUUCAUGCACCCAUCUACUAAAAUGAAGAACUCUGAAGGUAAAUAAUUUCAGAAGACAAAGAAUAAAGGCAAAAGGGAAGCUGACACCAAAUACCACUAUCUGAAGAAGGCUAUAGAAAGGUUAGGACAGUGCUGUGGAUCUAUGAAGGAAAUAAUAUAAAUGUGAGGGAUAUAGCAAAGGCUGCAGGCAUUUGGAGAGUCCUCACUCCUCCUUUCCUCUCCUGGUUUCUCAUUCAUCCAACAGAAUUUGGGCACUGGGCAGACAAGGCUACUCCUUUUCUGAGAACAGCAACAUCCUCUCUCUUGCCAUACAUGUCUAGAGAAGAUCCCUCUGCUUGUGCAGUUCACAUUACACGUGUAGUUCCUUGUCCUUAAACACAUUAUUUGGCAAAAGAAGCAGAGAUUUGGCCCUUCGUGAGUGUGACUCGUUCCCCGUAGCUGCCAGGAGGUGGCUCUCUGCAUUUGCAGUCCCUGUUUACUAUUUUGUUUAUGGAAUUAUGUUGGACACGUUUUCCGUGGAAAAUGUUUUCAGUGUGUUUGCCUUGAGGAAGUUUACGUAAGGAGAACAGGGAAGCCAUGGGCUCAGUAAAUAGUUUGCUAAAAAACAAGGCACAGAGCGGUUCACUUUUGUCAGAAUGUUUUAUGGCUACAAUCCAAAGGGAUUUUUCUUGUGCAGGACCUAAUCUUUUCAUUGUAAGAUUACGUAUAUCAGGCUCAAGGAGUUACAUCUCUGUUUGCGGGAUGCAUUUACCAGAUUUGAUUAUAGCUGAGUAAAAGUCAUUCUCAAUAAAAAAAAGCAUUUUAGUCACA